rnacentral:misc_RNA from 1 species
AAAAAAGACGAGUUUCGAAAUUGCAACCAAACCCCCUUCUGCAAACGCGCCCGCUCCAGGAAGCCUGGUGCGUGUUCACUAAUCGCCCAUGACGUAGCCAUCUCCGACGGUCACCUCACCGCCAAGCUUCUCCCCAAAACCCUACCAGAAUUAGAUCAAGGUCUAGAAGAUCAAAUCAAGCCUUUGAUCCUUACUCUCUCGAUCUAUCAAGAUGGCAUCAUGCGUCUCAAAAUCGAUGAGGAUCUCUCUCUGGAGCCUCCGAAAAGACGCUUCCAAGUCCCUGACGUAAUCAUCCCGGAUUUCGAGAACAAGAAGCUAUGGCUCCAGAGGGUUUCAACAGAAACGAUCGACGGGGACGCUGGUCCCUCCUCCGUCGUUUACUUAUCGGACGAGUAUGAGGCUGUCCUUCGUCAUGAUCCAUUCGAGGUUUAUGUCCGCGAGAAAAAAUCUAAUGAUCGCCGUGUGGUUUCCUUGAAUUCUCAUCAGUUGUUCGAUUUGGAGCAAUUGAGGCCUAAAAAGGAAGGGGAUGAUUGGGAGGAGAGGUUUAGGGGUCAUACAGACACGAGGCCCUACGGUCCCCAAUCCAUUAGUUUUGAUGUGUCCUUUUACGGUGCUGAUUUCGUGUCAGGGAUACCGGAGCACGCCACGAGUCUCGCCUUGAGGCCUACCAGAGGUCCUGGAGUCGACUAUUCUGAGCCUUACAGAUUGUUUAAUUUGGAUGUUUUUGAGUACUUGCAUGACUCGCCCUUUGGCCUCUAUGGGUCUAUCCCUUUCAUGAUUGCGCAUGGCAAAACCGGAAAAAGCUCUGGAUUUUUCUGGUUGAAUGCAGCCGAAAUGCAGAUUGAUGUUUUAGGAGAUGGAUGGGACGCAGAGUCUGGGAUUUCGCUGCCUUCAGGGCAGAAAAGAAUUGAUACCUUUUGGAUGAGUGAGGCUGGGAUUGUGGAUGCCUUCUUCUUUCUGGGUCCAGGCCCCAAGGAUGUUGUCAGCCAAUACACGAGUGUCACUGGAAAACCUUCAAUGCCACAAUUAUUUGCAACUGCUUAUCAUCAAUGUAGGUGGAAUUACAGGGAUGAGGAGGAUGUUGAGAAUGUGGAUUCCAAAUUUGAUGAGCAUGAUAUUCCUUAUGAUGUUUUGUGGCUUGAUAUUGAGCACACAGAUGGUAAAAGGUACUUCACAUGGGAUCCUGUUUUGUUUCCACAUCCAGAGGAUAUGCAGAAGAAAUUGGCAGUCAAGGGAAGGCACAUGGUUACUAUUGUGGACCCUCAUGUUAAGCGGGAUGAGUCGUUUCGGCUGCAUAAACAGGCUACAGAGAAGGGUUACUAUGUGAAGGAUGCAAGUGGGAAUGAUUAUGAGGGAUGGUGCUGGCCCGGUUCAUCUUCCUACUUGGACAUGUUGAAUCCAGAGAUCAGAUCAUGGUGGGGUGACAAGUUCUCAUACAAGGAGUAUGUGGGUUCAACCCCUACAUUGUAUAUUUGGAACGAUAUGAAUGAGCCUUCAGUGUUCAAUGGCCCAGAGGUAACAAUGCCUAGAGAUAUUUUGCAUUAUGGGGGCAUAGAGCACAGGGAGUUGCAUAAUUCCUACGGCUACUUCUUCCACAUGGCAACAUCUGAUGGGCUUUUAAAGCGCGGAGAUGGGAAGAGCAGGCCCUUCGUUUUGUCAAGAGCAUUUUAUGCUGGAAGUCAAAGGUAUGGAGCUGUUUGGACUGGAGACAACACAGCAGAUUGGGAUCAAUUAAGGGUUUCAGUUCCAAUGAUUCUGACUCUAGGUCUCACUGGAAUGUCAUUCUCUGGCGCGGAUGUUGGUGGCUUCUUUGGGAAUCCAGAGCCCGAGUUACUCGUUCGCUGGUAUCAGCUUGGUGCUUACUAUCCUUUCUUUCGAGCUCAUGCUCAUCUUGACACUAAGAGAAGAGAACCUUGGCUAUUUGGGGAGCGAAAUACAGAGCUUAUCAGAGAAGCCAUACAUGUUCGUUACAUGUUGCUCCCAUAUUUCUACACAUUAUUCAGAGAAGCAAACUUUAGUGGUAUUCCUGUCAUGCGGCCUUUGUGGAUGGAGUUCCCUUCUGAUGAAGCUACUUUCAGCAAUGAUGAAGCUUUCAUGGUUGGAGGCAGUCUUUUGGUGCAAGGGAUUUACACUGAGCGAGCUAAACAUGCUUCUGUCUACUUGCCUGGGAAAGAAUCUUGGUAUGACCUCAGAACAGGAGCUGCAUUUAAGGGAGGUAGAACCCACAAGCUGGAGGUUUCAGAGGAGAGUGUUCCUGCUUUCCAAAGGGCUGGAACUAUCAUACCAAGAAAGGACCGGUAUCGUCGAAGCUCCACACAGAUGGUGAAUGAUCCUUACAGUCUGGUGAUAGCUCUAAACAGUUCUCAAUCAGCUGAAGGAGAACUUUACAUUGACGAUGGUGAAAGUUUUGAUUUCUUGCAAGGGGCAUACAUCCAUCGCCGCAUCAUGUUCUCAGAUGGCAAGCUUACUUCUGUAAACUUGGCUUCCAAUACUGGUGGCAAAUCUCAAUUUUCUUCAAAAUGCGUCAUCGAAAGAAUUAUACUACUAGGAUACUCACCUAGGCCAAAGACUGCAGUAAUUGAACCAGCAAAUCAAAAAGUUGAAAUUGAACUUGGGCCACUUCGGCUUCAAAGUGGUGCACGUGGAGCUUCUUUUGUAACCAUCCGCAAACCAGUGGUCCGAAUUGGAGAUGAUUGGACAAUAAAAAUUUUGUAAGAACCAAUCGGGAUCAUAAGAUUUUCCUUAGGAAAGAUUUUCCCGGUUAAUUACUAGGAUGUAGUCAACUAAAAGAUCGGACUUGUGUUUCACAAAUACUGGGGUCAUGCAAGGUCCAAAACGCUAUUUGAUUGCUGUUUGCUAGGAGGGACUGGGCUUCUCACAAUACCUAACAUUGACCAUAAGCGUAAUU